CACACAAAAAAAACGGCAUUCACGAAGACUUGAUCCUACCGAUAACAAGGGACGCUUUGUCAGUGUUCAAACUGCGCAGUUUUUCCAAAUCACAUUGCCUGGGAGCCUGAACACUACCACUGUUCUUCACCAGUUUUUCAGAAAGCAGAGAUGAAGAGGCCAGGGGAUAUAGCCUACUGUCCAGGAAAUCUACAAAAAAUGAUGAAGAGGAAGGAGUAUUCUGUUUUCAGUGUGAACCAAGUGGAUUUCCAACAAGCGAGAUAUUUUGCUCACAGACUGAAUAGGAAAUUUGAAAAUAAUAAUUCAACUGUAAUGCCCAGGUGGUCAAGAAAAUAUUCUGAAAUGUAAUGUCAGUCAUUUUGUAAUGCAGUUGCUCUAUUCCACAUGAUUCUUUCUCGCACCUACUUAUGAAGGUUUCACUUUUUGUUUGUGAACAUAGCUUGCUUAAAUAUUAACUAUCCUAAUGAAUGUAUUCAUAUUGUCACACUUUACAUAACUAAUACAUAGCCUGGCUAGCAAGGUAGCAAAAUAAUAUUGUGCUAAAUGCCCAGGUGCUUCUUGAAUAUUCAUGAACGUAUUCAUGUACAAAAAUUUAUGUAUCACCCUCUGCCAAGUGUAAAAUGUAAUGCAAUAUUAGCGUUAUUAUGUUGUACAGAUAACUGACAAAAUAAAGGAACGACUUGA